rnacentral:tRNA from 1 species
AACUACUAAGUUUAAAACAAUUGCCUUGAAAGCACUUAUCAGAGGCCAACUCUAGUAGUUA